rnacentral:rRNA from 1 species
GUCAGGCGGGACUACCCGCUGAGUUUAAGCAUAUAAAUAAGCGGAGGAGAAGAAACUUACAAGGAUUCCCCUAGUAACGGCGAGCGAACCGGGAGCAGCCCAGCUUGAGAAUCGGGCGGCUGUGCCGUCCGAAUUGUAGUCUGGAGAGGCGUCCUCAGCGACGGACCGGGCCCAAGUCCCCUGGAAAGGGGCGCCUGGGAGGGUGAGAGCCCCGUCCGGCCCGGACCCUGUCGCCCCACGAGGCGCCGUCAACGAGUCGGGUUGUUUGGGAAUGCAGCCCAAAUCGGGCGGUAGACUCCGUCCAAGGCUAAAUACAGGCGAGAGACCGAUAGCGAACAAGUACCGCGAGGGAAAGAUGAAAAGGACUUUGAAAAGAGAGUCAAAGAGGG